CAAGUCGGAACCUGUGAACUUUUUCACAAUUUCUUCCUUCUUUAGUGAGGCACCAUUGAGGGUUAAAAAGGGUCUAAAUUCUUUCAACUCUAAUAGAGUGCUUAGUGUAGCUGUUCUCCCAGGUGGUAUAAUCAAGGGUAGAGUCCAGGCAUCCAUGUAAAAGAGGAUUUACGAGGUGGAGGUGAGUUAGAAGUGAGCAGUAAGCUAGAAAGCUAGUUGACAUCUAAAGAUGAUAUGCAAUGUUCUGGCUUAAGUAUUUCUAAGAAAAAACAAAAACGUACAGGACUGCUAUAACUUUGGACGUAAACGAAGAUGAAAAACUAAAUAUGUACCAGCCAGGUUUUGGAGGGUUAGUGAAGUUAGGCUAGUUGACAUAUAAUGAUCUGCCUCCCCCUGGCUAGCUAUAGAAGUAUCGUUGGGUUACUAUAAACACAUCACUGUCAAUGUAUUUUAGAAGUGUUAGGGUGAGGGUUAAAUUGUUUUCAAAAUAGGUGCAUGUUGAGGGUCAGUCAGUGAGGUACAGCACCUGCGAGUGCCCAAUCGGCAGAGACAAGUGCCAUCAUAUGGCAGCCUUGUUGAUUUGGAUGAAGAAAAAUCCACAACACGAGGUUAGUAAUUUAUUUGCAAUUGAUGCUGAUGUUGUUGUGUGGUUUGAAUUAUUUGCUUAACAUUAUGUGGUUUAAAGCCAUUGUAUUAUGUGAAGCUGAACCGUAUUUAUCAAACAGUGAUAACAUACACUCACAGUGUGCUGUAGUACUACCAAAAAAUCGUGAUCCUAAGCUUUAUCUCAAAAUCUUAGUUGGCCAGACAGUGAUUCAUCUUUUCUGAAGCGUUAAAAUAUUGAUGUCCAAGACACCUUGAGCCAAGAGGCUGUAGUAUACACCAUGCAUUUUUAAAAGCUUAGCUUAAAGGUGUGCUAGAAAUGAAUAGUGCUAAUAAAAGGCUGUUAAGUUGAGAUAGUAUUCUCACUUGAAAUGAUCUCAAUUACUAAUACUCAUUUUAUUACCCAUUUUAUACUGUUAUUUCAACUGGAAUGUGCACUGGCAUCCUUGUCACAACUUGGGCGUUUUACUGGGAUGGGGUGGAUUUUGAGUCCAGAAACAUCUCAGUGAUGGCGGAGGGAGACUUAAAAGCCGCUCUAGCACAUUAGUUUGGGAGAGAGUGACCUGAGAGCACGAACUCGACGCUACUGAGUGUUUUGAAAAUUAUCUUAUUGUGUUGUGAAGCUACAUGAAUUGAGUGCAUUAAAGAAAAUCCAAGACCCUGAAGGCAGAAAAUAAAAGACUUGCCUGCACUGCUUCAUUGUCUCCUGACUCCUCCAUUGCCCAAAAGAGUUAUCCCCAUUACAGUGGUGCCGAAUCACAGGAUUUUGGAGGACAACGCCGUUAUGGAGUCUUCACCACUGGGCGAAGUUAUCAAAUCCCUCGCCAGCAUCCAGCAGACUUCAUGGAGUUAGCCUGGAGCAGGAACAAUGCUUCCAACUCCUGCUCCAGACCCAAGCGGAGAACCGGCAGGUGUUCCAGAGCAUUAUCGACAGAGAGGGGGGCCACUUCCCUGUGACCCUCAUGAAGCUGGGGCCAAAUGACGAUCUGGAGGCCUACCUCAACUUGUUCAAGGUGUAGAAGUGGCCGCCCAACCAGUAGGCGGCCCGCUUGUUGCCGUUACUCUCCGGGGAGGUGUAGCUAGCAGCCCAACAACUUCCCGCUGCCAGCCUCCUCAAUUACCCUGACCUGCAGGAACAUCAGCCCAACAAGCAGAAUUAAUAGCCCUGACUGAAGCAUGCAAAAUGGCUGAAAGAAAAACUGUUAACAUUUAUACAGAUUCUAGAUAUGCCUUCGAUGUUGUACAUGACUUCCAAGCGGCAUGGCAACACAGAGGUUUCCUAACAGCAGCUGGAACGGCAAUAAAGAAUGGCCAUGAGGUUGAAGAACUUCUUAAAGCUUUGCAGCUUCCGCAGCAUGUCGUUGUUCUAAAAAUAAAGGCCCAUGAUAAGACUGACACUCUAGAGGCUGAGGGAAAUGCUUUGGCAGAUGCAGCAGCAAAAUCUACAACUACACAUCAUACAUUUCUUCUCAGUGCCAGUUACAAUUACUCAUCCCUUUCAACUUGCUGAGAUAUCUAAGAUGCAAGAAUAAAGCUCCAGAGAAGAGAAAUGGGAGUGGCUUGAAAAUGGUUGUAAACUAUCAGAUGAUAACAUAUGGAGAAAACAGUCUGGUAGUGCCAAAAGUUUUACUACCUUACCUCGCUACACAGAUACAUACCACUGGACACAUAGGUACAAGCCAGAUGCAUUCUCGAUUUAAUUGUAUCUGGUGGGUUAAAGGAUUUAAGAAACAUGCAGAUACAGUGGUGAGGAAUUGCGUAAUUUGUCAAAAACACAAUUCUGCUCCUUCUGUGAUGCUUUGCACGCCUGCACCUCCAGGUCCAUUUCAAGAGCUACAAUGUGAUAACAUUACUUUACUAGAUCCAAAAAACAACCAGGAUGUACAAAAUGCAACAUUUUCUAGAUGUUCCCCACAAAGAAAAGCACUGCUGCCUUUACUGCUAAGGUUUUAGUGAGAGAUAUAAUUCCACGAUGGGGAAUACCACACAGUACUGACUAUUGAAUAUUACAGUAUUGAGGUCUGUCAAGAAGUAUGCAGGUUAUUAGGCAUGCAAUGACAUUUUCACUGUCCAGGGCAUCCGCAAUCUUCAGGCAUGGUUGAACGUGCUAAUUCUACUUUGAAAACUCGCCUGGCGAAAUAUCAUUCCUCUGGCACCCCCUGGGUGGAUGCUUUGCCUUUUGUCUUAUGAAGUAUGUGAGCCUCUGCUAACAAAGUAACUGGAUUUAGUCCUUUUGAAGUAAUCACCAGAAGAACAAUGGCUUUACCAGGAACCCCUGAUUUAUCUACUGCAGAUGUACACUUAAUGUCAGACACGCUGCUUACAUACUGCUUGUCACUUACAAAAGCAGUGGCAACAGCACAGUGUCAAGUUUUAAAUGCAUGGGGACCUCCUCCAGAGGGGGGACACAGCAUUGUGCCAGGGCAAUUAGUGUAUGUUAAGAAAUUACAACAUGCAGGUUUAGAGCCUCGAUAGGAAGGUCCAUUCACGGUCGUUUUAGUCACUACAUCGGCAGUUAAAUUAAUGGGUAAGCCUAAAUGGAUUGUCAUUGUUAGUCAUUGUAAAAUUGCAGCAAGGACUGAGAAUGAACAGGGUGAAUCGCUGUAGAUUGGAGUCAUGAGAAGAACUAUACCUUUUAGUGGUAUGGGGCUCACCCUCAUGAUCGCUGGGGGAAGGGGCGGCAACGUCCUCCAUUGACCACUCGCCAGAUGCAGCGAGAGACAUAACAUCAUCAUCCCCAGCGUCAGAACCGCCGAACUUGUGCGCUCUUGCAGAGGGCCGAAGCUCAUCAUGCACAUACUGUAUCGAUAUAUGGAGAUUGAGGGGCUCGCAUGGCUUGUGCCAGCACGAGGUCCACCACAAAUUCAUCCUGCUCGACCUCGCGUGAUCCCUUAGGAACCACAGAAGAGUCGGGUGGGAGGGCACGGGAGGCUGAAUCGUCCCUCAGAAUGAAGGCGAUUCGCAAGCAAAGUGUCUUAAGACUCAUGCUCUCACUGUGAGGGCAGUCUGUCUCCAUGAGAGCUGUCUAUGUGUGGGCGCGGCCCAGACAGUGAAUGCAGCUCUCAUGCUGAUCUGAUGGCGGGAUCACAUAAGGAACACUUACGGAACAACAUCUUUAAAAAGACGCUUAAGUGGCUUUUUUAGUUAUAGAUAGAUAGAUAGAUAGAUAGAUAGAUAUGUGAAGUGUAUUGUCAUACCGGACAGCUUCACACCUAAAAGGGUGGGGCUUAAACACCAUAGCCAAUCCUGCGUUAUUGUAGAAAGCUUUCAACUAGGUCGUGUAGAAGUACACGCCCCAUAGCGUCACCUUAGUGAUGCAAUGUCAAGUGUACUGAAUUGUAAGGGAACCCUGGUACUAUAAGAUGUGGUGAACAUCAGUUAAGAUGGCAUUCCAGGGACCAGUUUAUGGCAGGGCCCCUCUGUAAGUGACGGUGUGGAAGAUGUACCUCACUGUGAUUGGAUCCUUGGUGAAUGAACAAACAAAUGUUCAGCAACAUCAGAUACGAUGUUCAGACAACUGCCAGACACCUCUUACAGGGCAGGAAGGGGGACCUUCUGCACCCACCAAACUCAUUCCUAAGGUUAGGCAAGAACUGCCAUAAAUUCCUUCAGGACCUCCCGGGUGCAGCAGCAGUGGAGGGCCACAGAGAUCUAUUCAUACCUAGGUUUGGAGGCCUUAAAUUAAAAUAAACUGCAAAACAUCCACUCAAAGCACAGUUUAUGUUAAUGGUUAUUGACUGUUAACACAACAGUUCAUGGGACAGACCUAUUAACAGAUAAACGAAUGCAUGGAGGAUGACUUAAAUGUUUCUUAUCUUGUUUGGUCUCUAUCUGUUCCAUACAAUGCCUUUAAUAAUUUGAAAGAUGUUUGGUAAAGAAAUAAUGCAUGGGUAAAACGUUAAAGACACUGUUUUAACACUGUACUUUAUGCUAUGCAAAUGAGUUCCACACUAGGGUGGGCAACACCGUGGCAACUUUAGACACCAGUGGCCAGUCACACUCCAGGAUCGGAAAGGCACCAGAUUUCAAUCUGCUCCUCAUCAGAAAGGGAUAAAUAUGUCCCCCGGGUAGACACACCCACGUCCUGCAUUUCCAACUCAAUGGGGAAGGAGACAUUAGCAGACACACCACGUCCUGAGUUUCUGACCUGACGAGGAAAGAGGCUACCAGAUAGUUGAUGUUAAGCUUUUGCGAGCAAAACCUUUUAUAUUGCUUUAUUAUUAUAUUGCUGCACUCUAGCUGAAAAAGGGCCCCAGCAUUGAGGGACCUUAUCUGACCCUUACGGCCCCUCCAGCAGCGCAGCUCAGUCCACAAAGGACCUCUGCAGCGGCAGACAUUGCCUGUCCCACACGGCUCCUCAGUGACGCAGCCAACCUGCAAAGGACCCUGUGAAGAUUAAACUGACCCAGCUGCCCAGUCCACUAUUUAAGGACCCUCUUGGCACAACUGAAGUUCAGCAUCCUCCCGCCCAGCGUGGCAACGACUACUGGAUCGCAACUCUGCGCCCUUCCCACUGCACGCUACCCGCAUCACCAGUGGAAGACGUCUCUACUGCCGGACUGAUCACCCGACUGUGUGGAAUGUAAAUAUAAACUUAUCAAACCUCUUUCUAGAGACCUUGGCACUAGUUUAUACCUGCAGCAUAUGUUUUUCUAACUUGCUUAGAUAACAGUUACCUGGGGUCAGCUUGUUACAAAUAAUAGGUAUAUUAUUUGUUUAAUGAUAAAUAAGCAGUAUUUAUCACCAUUUUGCCAGAGCCAUUAGGUGGUUUCCCAUAAGGAGCAUUCCCAUACAGUUCUCUCCCAUUGCUACAUUGUUCAACAGCAUUGCAUUUAUCCACACUGUUCUCAAAUAAUUUAUGUUUCAUUGUUUAAUUCAGUACUUUCCUUUUUGGUUAUUAGUUUAUUAUCCUUUAGCAGUGCAUAUUCAUUAUUAGCAUUAUUCAUUUGUGAGAUUUACUCUUGCAUAUCUAUUGUUAACAAAUUUCAUUAAUUUUAUCAGUCUUUAUUGUGUUGACGAUCAAAGACUCCACUAGUUGUCCAGACUCUCACAAAUCCUUCAGAUAAAUCAGCUGACCAACUCCCUCUAGUUUACAUUAAUUCUAAAUGAUUGAACAGCUAUUUUGGGAGUGUUCUUAAAUUAAGAUAGUAUUCUUAACUGGUGCCCCGUAUUGCAAAGGGGGAGGGGUCAUCUGAUACACUCAUAACCACUCCUUAAGUGACACUUGAUCAAAAAUCACUAUGUCAUCGGUGAAUUGAGUAGAAAUCACUUAGAUCUCUGGUAAAGCAUAACAUGUCUACUUUAUGGGAAGAUAAAGGGGAAAUUAAUGGAACUUAAAAAUGUCACUACAUUUAUGUGAACAGAAAUAAAAUCAUCAACAUAAAUUUACAAAUAUAUUUGUUAGAUAUCAAAGACCAAAUAGUGGCUAAUUCAUCCACUGAAUGUCUUCCCUGUUAUUUUCCACCCUGACCCUGCCCAUUUAACAGCAUGGACAUCUGAAUUUUCAAGUCAUUUAGCUUGACCAGCAUGACUUAUAAAAUCUUUAAAGUUGAAGAAUGCAACUCCUGCGACACUAGCGCCAAAACAGCUUACUGAAUACGCCCCCCGUCUACUGUUGAGCAAACAAAGAGAGUCCCCUAAGCAGGUUGCUCGAAACAGAGACAUUUUCAAAGUGCCACAGAAAGAGAGUGCUUACACUUUUCGAUAAAAUUAACCUAUGAAUGGCUUACUAAUAGUGGUCUCUCAUAUUAAGCUUGGAUAGCAGAAAGUAUUUUAACACAGAAAAAGUUACAAACAUCAGUUUUAACAUGUCCCUCUAAUAAGAAACAUAAAAAUACUUAUAAAAGCAUGUUUCAUUUUACAAAAGUUUCAAAGCCGAAAUGUGUACAUAACCCAGUAGGGCGCUUUUGGAUUUUAUAUAACUCCUAUUCAGUCCUGAGUGACCUAUUUGAAUUAUUGUCAUUAUUUAAUUCUCCCAUCUUCACUCCACGUGCACUUCCUCCACCUACUGGAGAGUCAAUAGUAUUAACGUAAAUGCUUUAGUUUUGUUUUUUUCUAUGAAAAUAACACUGCAUGACUGGACAAAAUAAAAUAUAUGAUGACUGACAUGAUAUAAACGAUCAACAUUACUUUAUUGAAGCAAAUUAUACACACAGAGUCUGCUACACAAACAUAACUUUCAUAAGAUAUAUACAGUUGAAGUCAGAAGUUUACAUACACCUUAGCCAAAUACAUUUAAACUCAGUUUUUCACAAUUCCUGACAUUUAAUUUAGAACAAAAUUUCCUGUCUUAGGUCAGUUAGGAUCACUAUUUUAUUUUAAGAAAGUGAAAUGUCAGAAUAACAGUAGAGAGAAUGACUUAUUUCAGCUUUUAUGUCUUUCAUCACAUUCCCAGUGGGUCAGAAGUUUACAUACACUUUGUUAGUAUUUGGUAGCAUUGCCUUUAAACUGAUUAACUUGGGUCAAACAGUUUGGGUAACCUUCCACAUACUUCUCUCAAUAAGUUGCUGGAAUUUUAGCCCAUUCCUCCAGACAGAACUGGUGUAACCGAGUCAGGUUUGUAGGCCUCCUUGCUCACACACACUUUUUCAGUUCUGCCCACAAAUUUUCUAUCGGACUGAGGUCAGGGCUUUGUGAUGGCCACUCCAAUACCUUGACUUUGUUGUCCUUAAGCCAUUUUGCAACAACUAUGGAGGUAUGCUUGGGGUCAUUGUCCAUAUGGAAGACCCCUUUGUGAUGAGCUUUAACUUCCUGACUGAUGUCUUGAUGUUGCUAUAAUAUCUCCACAUCAUUUUCCUUCUUCAUGAUGCCAUCUAUUUUGUGAAGUGCACCAGUCCCUCCUGCAGCAAAGCACCCCCACAACAUGAUCCUGCCAACCCCAUGCUUCACGGUUGGGAUGGUGUUCUUCGGAUUGCAAGCCUAACCCUUUUUCUUCCAAACAUAACGAUGAUGGUCAUUAUGGCCAAAGAGUUCAAUUUUUGUUUCAUCAGAUAAGAGGACAUUUCUCCAAAAAGUACAAUCUAAGAGUUCAAUUUUUGUUUCAUCAGAUAAGAGGACAUUUCUCCAAAAA